rnacentral:rRNA from 1 species
GCACAAGCGGUGGAGCAUGUGGUUAAUUCGACGCAACGCGAAGAACCUUACCAGGGCUUGACAUCCCCUGACCGCGUAUGAAAGUACGUUUUCACCCUCGGGUGACAGGGAGACAGGUGGUGCAUGGUUGUCGUCAGCUCGUGUCGUGAGAUGUUGGGUUAAGUCCCGCAACGAGCGCAACCCCUACGUUUAGUUGCUAACGCGUGAAGGCGAGCACUCUAGACGAACUGCCGUUGACAAAAACGGAGGAAGGUGGGAUGACGUCAAAUCAUCAUGCCCCUUAUGUUCUGGGCUACACACGUGCUACAAUGGCCGGUACAGACGGACGCAAAGCCGCGAGGUGGAGCAAAUCCUAAAAAGCCGGUCUCAGCUCGGAUUGCAGGCUGCAAUUCGCCUGCAUGAAGUCGGAAUCGCUAGUAAUCGCAGGUCAGCAUACUGCGGUGAAUACGUUCCCGGGCCUU